rnacentral:lncRNA from 1 species
ACUCUGUACAAAGGGACCGUUGGGGCCCAAGUGCUUUGGUUAUACCACCUGCAUUUGGCAGUUAGUGAAGGUUACUUGAAGAGGUUGGAAGCAGUCAGAGUUCCAGUUGAUGAUAGAAAAAAGCAAAAACGAGUUCCAGAUCCACAAAAACAGUGAGCCGUUCAUGAGUUGGAAUUUGAGUUCAUAAAAUGGAGUUCAGUGGAAAGGUUCGGAUAAGAAGAAUCGAGACCAGAAACGGGAAAGAAGAUCAUUGAUCGAAAAAAUCUUCUAUUCUGUGAUCAAAGUCAAAAGUUGCAUGACAAAUUUCAAUUUGUUGCAUACGCAUUGCACACCCACACGUUAAUGUAAUUUAUGGUGCUGGAAUUGAAUGUAUACUUUUCGGGGGGAGCCGUUGUACCUUUUUGUAUAUCGAUUUUUGCUCCAAAAUAUAAACCUUCUCAUUUCGUGCUUAACAAACCCCUGUGAAACACCUCGUGGCGCAGCCUUUGAUUCUAUACAUCAAGUCAUCUGUCUUGGAGUCUGUAGCAAGAUUGUGCUACUAUCCUGUUACAACAUGACCUUGUUACUACAUAGUUUGCUUUGUUGUAACAACUGUUGCAAGCACACCGUCCAUUUUGAUGGUUUGCAGAACCUGUAGUUAACGCUGUAGUGUUUAGGCAAAAACAAGUUAAUGAUAAUACCGUUAUCUGUACGAAUGCACACUAUUGCAUCACGAAAAAACAGCAAAACCUAACUUUUGCACAAAUGGUAGGUUGGAACUUGGAACAUCAAAAAAACGGUUUUGGAUAUUGUGGGUUCUCUUGUUCUCACCCAUGCAGGAAAUAAAUACCUUUUAAAACUAUUUGCGUAAAUUAUGCCGUUUUUAUGGCAAAUAAAGAAGCUGAUAGUGACUAACAGUAAUCUUACAUCAAAAAAUUAUUCCACAUAAAUCUCGCCAUUUGAGUUAUUUAGCUAUUCAGCAAAUUUAAAAGUUUUCUACAACUUCAAACAAAUUUAGAUAUAACUAUGGUAAAAUCUGUUUUGAAAUAUUUUUCAAGUAUAUACCAAUUAUGAUUAAAAAAACACUAUGUAAUUUUUCAUUAUAUUUUAUUUCAACAAGUUUCGCAAAUCUGCCGAUGAAAUGCCAUUACAAUCACAGAAAUGAAACGAAAAAGAAAAAUUUGAUUUGUAUAUGAAAUUUCAAUGUGUAUAAUACGUAUUGUCAGACUGUUACAAAAACUACCGCACAAAUCGCGAUGUACACACGUGAAGACUUACAAAUGUACCUGCUUUUAAACAUUUUUGUUAGGCUCCUUUACAAAAGAUUCCACUUUAAUUACAUUUAAUAAUUUCCUUUUAGCUGCCUGCAUCUUCGACACACCAAUAAAUUCCCUAAUGAAUGUUAUGUGGGUGAAAUGCACGAAACUCCGAUAUUUUUGCAUCUUUUCUUAUUUUAAGAACUUUAAGAAUGGUUUUUUAGGCAGCGGAGCACACAAACUUAUAUUUUAUUAGAAUUAUUUACCUUUACCUAUACUAUAAUUGUUUUUUUUUAAUUUCUUAAUUGCUUAAGUUAGGCGAACACUACUUUAGUAGAUCAAUUUAUUUUUUUUAUAUGAGGCACCAUUAAUUUUAUAAUAGUUAGGUGAUUUUCAUUCAAUACCUUAAGGCAAAGUACACAGAUCCCUUGUCUAUUUUCAUUUUUUUUUUGAUAAAUUCGUUUCCAAUCAAACUUUUUUAAGGAGAUUUUAAUUAAAAAGAGAAAAUUAAUUUAUUGCGCCCCUAUUAACUAUGAAACUAAAAUAGGCGCAAAUUAAUUUAAUUUGAUACAUUUGAUCAUUCUGGCGUCCUUGUUCAGUCUACAUAAGUUUCUACAGUCUACGUAUUAACCUAAAACAGUUUUAUAAGAUCUACUUUUCUUUGUUACUAGGAAAUCGUUGUGGACUAAAAUACUAAAGCUCGUGAUGUCACAAUUUACUAAAUAGUUAUGGACGAUCUUGUUUAAUAAACAGUAUUGCCUAAGUAAUGUACAGAUUUGUUCAAAAAACGAGUUCUGUGUUAAUAUUGCAUUAAAAUUGUGAUAGAUUUCAUGUAAAUUAGAAGAAUAAUUCGGUACGAUUUCCAAUGACAGAGAUUUCCUGGAUUAAAACUUAUUAAAAAUUAAUUUUGAUAUUGAAAAAAUCAAAUUAAAAAAAAAAACAAACAGUGCUUUUCCUUAAUUAUUAGGUAUACAAGUCCCUAUUAGUACUAGAUCUACAAGUUUUACAAUUCUUUUCGUCUAUAUAAAAAUUAAGAAAAUAUAUUCUGUUAUCAGUGAUGAUAAUUAAGUCAUAAUCCAAAUGGAGUAAUAAUAAUAAAUACUUAAUCGCUAAAGUUGUAAUACAAUGUAGUUGUAAUUACAGUACCUAUUGAGAUGUUAUUAAAAUUGGGGCGUGUGUGAUGGACAAAGCAGUUUUGCUGGCUAGGAAUUAGGGUGGCUUUGAUUUUUAGGAAUUCGAAAUGCCAAAAAACCUUAAAAACUAUUUUAGUAAACAUUUUUAA